AAAUUGAAGAGUUUGAUCAUGGCUCAGAUUGAACGCUGGCGGCAGGCCUAACACAUGCAAGUCGAACGGUAACAGGAAGCAGCUUGCUGCUUUGCUGACGAGUGGCGGACGGGUGAGUAAUGUCUGGGAAACUGCCUGAUGGAGGGGGAUAACUACUGGAAACGGUGGCUAAUACCGCAUAACGUCGCAAGACCAAAGAGGGGGACCUUCGGGCCUCUUGCCAUCAGAUGUGCCCAGAUGGGAUUAGCUAGUUGGUGAGGUAACGGCUCACCAAGGCGACGAUCCCUAGCUGGUCUGAGAGGAUGACCAGCCACACUGGAACUGAGACACGGUCCAGACUCCUACGGGAGGCAGCAGUGGGGAAUAUUGCACAAUGGGCGCAAGCCUGAUGCAGCCAUGCCGCGUGUAUGAAGAAGGCCUUAGGGUUGUAAAGUACUUUCAGCGGGGAGGAAGGUGUUGCGGUUAAUAACCGCAGCAAUUGACGUUACCCGCAGAAGAAGCACCGGCUAACUCCGUGCC
rnacentral:rRNA from 1 species